rnacentral:rRNA from 1 species
AGCCAUGCAUGUCUAAGUAUAAGCAAUUAUACAGCGAAACUGCGAAUGGCUCAUUAUAUAAGUUAUCGUUUAUUUGAUAGUACCUUACUACUUGGAUAACCGUGGUAAUUCUAGAGCUAAUACAUGCUAAAAAUCCCGACUUCGGAAGGGAUGUAUUUAUUAGAUUAAAAACCAAUGCCCUCUGGGCUCCUUGGUGAUUCAUAAUAACUUUUCGAAUCGCAUGGCCUUGCGCCGGCGAUGGUUCAUUCAAAUUUCUUCCCUAUCAACUUUCGAUGUUUGGGUAUUGGCCAAACAUGGUCGCAACGGGUAACGGAGGGUUAGGGCUCGACCCCGGAGAAGGAGCCUGAGAAACGGCUACUACAUCCAAGGAAGGCAGCAGGCGCGCAAAUUACCCAAUCCCGAUUCGGGGAGGUAGUGACAAUAAAUACUGAUACAGGGCUCUUUUGGGUCUUGUAAUUGGAAUGAGUACAAUUUAAAUCCCUUAACGAGGAACAAUUGGAGGGCAAGUCUGGUGCCAGCAGCCGCGGUAAUUCCAGCUCCAAUAGCGUAUAUUAAAGUUGUUGUGGUUAAAAAGCUCGUAGUUGAACCUUGGGCCUGGCUGGCCGGUCCGCCUCACCGCGUGUACUGGUCCGGCCGGGCCUUUCCCUCUGUGGAACCUCAUGCCCUUCACUGGGUGUGACGGGGAAACAGGACUUUUACUUUGAAAAAAUUAGAGUGCUCCAGGCAGGCCUAUGCUCGAAUACAUUAGCAUGGAAUAAUGAAAUAGGACGUGUGGUUCUAUUUUGUUGGUUUCUAGGACCGCCGUAAUGAUUAAUAGGGACAGUCGGGGGCAUCAGUAUUCAAUUGUCAGAGGUGAAAUUCUUGGAUUUAUUGAAGACUAACUACUGCGAAAGCAUUUGCCAAGGAUGUUUUCAUUAAUCAGGAACGAAAGUUAGGGGAUCGAAGACGAUCAGAUACCGUCGUAGUCUUAACCAUAAACUAUGCCGACUAGGGAUCGGACG